CAUGAGCUGUAACUAAUUAGUUUUGAAAUCUAAAUAGCCAACUUCCCAUGGCUCACACUGCCAGGACCCUGGAGGGGAAUGGAGUACACCCCAGCACUAAAAGAGGCCCUGAUCCCCAAGCUCACAGCCUCUGGAGCAGAAUCCACCAUCACCUUGGGCUCACAGGAGGAUAGUAGGCAUUCAUAAAAUGCUUGUGGAUGGACGGUGUCCUAAAAAUUCUGCAAGCGUGUCCCCGAGAUCCCACUGCCCCCAACAUCAGAGAAGGGCUGUCUGUAGCCCCUUGGGGAGCUGCCUGCAAGGACUGAGGGCCUGGGGAUCUAGAGAAGAGGUUUCCUCUUCCUCCGACAUCAGGAGUCCGCCUCCCUACUGGACGCAGUAGGGAGAGCUGAUGCAAAAUGCUUGACUUGGCCUUGGCCGACCCCAGGUGACUCCUGACACCAAGCAGCCUGGCAACAGGGGCCUGGGGGAGGGGAUAAUUUAUAUUUUUGCUUGGUGACAAAUGGCUAAAUAAUAGAUCUGGCUGGGGUUUCGGUUUCUCCCCCAGCAGCUUGACCGAUGUGUUGGCCUGUUGACUCAAUCGGCGUUAUUUUGGCCCUGUGGGGACCCAGAACUCGGUUUGUGCUCGGGGAGGCCUUCCCCUCUCUCUUGGGUGUUUGGGCUUCCCCCAGUGUCGUGUUUGUUUGCCUUCCUGUCUGGGGCCCUGAGGGUUGAAGAAGGCGGAGGCGUGGGCCUUUGCCAGACUCCAAGUUUUUACGUGGCCUGGGGCACAGACUCCUGUUUGCAUGGCUGGUGAAGCAGCAGCAUCUCCGUCCUCUUUGGCCCGGCAAAUGUGGUCCUUCCUCUCCCUCCAGCCCUAUCUGCCUUUCUCCCUGCAGCCACUCUUAGUAUUAAUGACAGUGGUAGAGCAAUGUAAUUCCUUACGUGCAAAUAGUGCUUUAUGGUUUGUGAAGCCCUUUCAGGGCAUCAUGUCAUUUGACCCUCCCACAGCCCUCUGUUUGGGGCUGAGGCUCAGGGAGGUUUGGGGACUUACCCAAGGUUAUGGACUCAUGAAAGUCAGAGCAGGUCUUUGGAUUUUUGGUCCCGUCUUCUGUCCUCUGACCCAAGAUGCCCUCUUGCCUUUGGAGACUGGGGAAGAGGCUGCCACCCUACAUCUAUUCCCCUUUCUUCCUUAGCAAUAGAACCUCAGUUUUAUUCAAGGUAGCAUUGUUCCCAGGCAAAAGAAAGAUUCCUAGCCUAACUUGCAGCUGUGGUUUGUAACCAGGCGCUUCAGGAAAACUUAAAGAGGGGGCAUGGACCCUUUUUACCUUAUCUCACUAUCUGGAAUUCAGAGAUAAUGGCUGGAACUCAGCAGCCAUUCUGGACAAUGAGGUAACCUUGAGGAUAAAAGCCAUGUACUAAGAUAGUAAGUCAGAAAUACAGAAGGGUCCUGAGUCUCAGAUGACCAGAGAACUACUAUGCCAGCCAAGACUUCCUAAACCAAGACCUCUUUUACACGAGAGAGAAAUAAACUUCUAUUUUGUUUAAGUCAUUGCUAUAUGGUUCUCUGUUUGCAGCCAAGUUGAAUUGCUCCUGAUUCAGGAGCCUCAUUUCCAGUAAGACACCACCUCUCCUGCACCCCUUCCUGCUGACUGAGCAUGUGGAAGGCUCUCUUCUAGUGGUUCUCAGCUCUCCUUGUUGUAUAUUCUGGGCCUGGGUCAUGAGAACUAGCCCCUGUACAUUUCUGGGUCCCUUGAACCUGAGGAGAGUUCUAGAGAAUGACCACAUAUAUUUCCUUCUGUUAGUUCUCAUAGCCCAGUGACACUACUGAUGGGGGGAGAACACAUGAAAACUCCAAGCCCUCAGCCAUUUGCAUAGGCUGGAUUCUUCUGAGGGUUAGUUUACAAACACUUCCAACUACUCUUCAUCCUCCGUAUUGCAGAGGGUGGGCCAGAGGGUUUAUCAUUUGGGCCCUGCUCCUCAUCUGCCCCACCCCCAAAGCAGAGAAAGUAGAGUCCCGGUGUUCAUGAUCCCUGCCUCCUGAAUCCCUACCAGUAAAACGUUUGAAGCACAUGCACCCCUGACAGCUGCAUGUCUUUUGGCUAAAGAAUUACAGACCUCCUCCUGUUGGUCUGGCCAUGUGGAACUGUGAGGAACUGAUGUACCUUGACUGAUCGGGGGCUGGGCGCAGCCUUGUGCAUCAGGUCACAGAUGUCUUUAAGGGCUAGGCUCUCUCUAGCUUUCAGAAGUGCCUCUAUCGUUAUUGUGUUGGCUUUUGUUCUCAAGUCCAUCCCUUCAAGGGUAUGUGUUAAAAUCGUAUCUGCCUUCUCAGUAAGAAAAUGGGCAGGGGCAGUGCCAGCCUGCCAUGCUCUGGCACUGUCGCUUUCUGAGAAGCAAAAUGUCUUUUCCAGAAACCUCUGGUGAACGUGUCUUUCUGCCUUAUUAGCCAGCCCUGGGUCACAUGGCUUCACUGGUCACAGGAGUCUGGGAAGUUAUCAGGUAACAAGGGGAAACAGAGGUGAGAAUGGAAUGGCUGUUGGGUGGCACCUCAUAGGGUCUGCAAUGCACGUUUACCACUGGGCCAGUGUGUUGGUUACAUGAUAAAAGCUGCAUUAAAAAUAGGAUUUUUUUUUUUUUUUUUUUGGUGCACCCGCACAUGGAAGUUCCCAGGCUAGGGAUUGAAUCCGAGCCACAGCUGCAACCUGUGCAAUAGCUGUGACAACACUGGAUCCUUUAACCCACUGUGCUGGGCCGGGGACCAAACCCUUGGCUCCACAGUGACCUGAGCUGCUACAGUCAGGUUCUUAACCCACUGUGAGAAAUCCCUCAGUACCUUUUAAGAAACAGUAAAUAUUGGAGUUCCCAUCAUGGCGCAGUGGUUAACGAAUCCGACUAGGAACCAUGAGGUUGCGGGUUCAGUCCCUGCCCUUGCUCAGUGGGUUAAUGAUCCGGCGUUGCCGUGAGCUGUGGUGUAGGUUGCAGACGCGGCUCGGAUCCUGCGUUGCUGUAGCUCUGGCGUAGGCCGGUGGCUACAGCUCCGAUUCGACCCCUAGCCUGGGAACCUCCAUAUGCUGCAGGUGUGGCCCUAGAAAAAGGCAAAAAGACAAAAAAGAAAAAAAAAAAGAAACAGUAAAUAUUAGAUAAGACAUUUCCCUUCAAUAACAGCUCCCCACGUCUGAGCAAGAGAUGGGGUGGGGAGAGUUAAAGUAUUGAAAGUAUGGAAAGCAAUGGCAGUUCCCCAAAGAACAUUUUAAUAAUGCCCAUUAUUCAAGUGUCCAGGUGUUUUUCAUUUCUGUAGCAACCAAAGCCACAUGCUGAGGAUUCCUGCUGGGGCUAGAGCACAGGACCGGAGGCCGACCAACAUUUGCCUGCUGUGGUCUCCGCCUACUGUAAGCCCCUGAUCCUGCGAUUCUGCUCUCUUGGCCUUAGUUUCCUCAGCUGGAACCUGGAAGGUUGGGCUAGAAGGUGUUAAGCCUGUCCCUUCCUCUUCUGUUUAGGGCAUCCCUGUUGUCAGAGUCACGUGACGCCUCUUUGCCUAGUCUCACCGUCCCGCUCCCCUCCCCAAGCCCCUUGGACUAUGGCCCGCCUUCCCUUUCUCCGACCUGCUUACUCACCGGUUCCCCUGCCCUCUGGUAACUCUGCCCUUUGGAAAGUGCUCCCAUCCCAGCAUCCUAUGGGAGGCAGCAUGAAGGUCUGGUCUCUGCUGGAGAUUCGGCCUGGGAUUUCAGAUGCUCCCCCACUCCCCAAACAGAUUCAGAGCCCUUUCAGUAUGCAAGGACAUGUCCUAGGGCUUCAUAUGUUUUAUCGCACAUAACACUAGGAGCUUGCUACUCUUAUUAUCAUCAUUACCAUCACCAUUACCACUUUUAAAAUGAAGAGAAUGGGGCACAGAGAGGUUAAGUACCUUGCCCAAGGUCACACAGCUGAUAGGGGGCACAGCUGCAUGUUUGCCCAGGCAUUCUGGCUCUAGAGCCUUGCUCUUAACCACUAUGGUAGACGGUAUUAAUUUCUCUGUCUCUGUGACUUUGGGUGCGUUCUUUUGUUAUUUCUGUAAAUGCAGAACCAUUGGAGAGCACAUUGCAGACAUCAUGCCACUUCACCUUAAAUACUUCAGCGUCUCUACCAGGUGUUUCUCUAUAACCUCAGCACCCAGGAUAUUUGACACCGACACAAACUAUCAUCUAAUACCAUGUUUAUUUUCAAAUAUCCCUCUCUCAAAAAUAUCCUUCGUAGCUUUUUUUUCAAUAUAGAGUCCAAUCAAUGACCACACAUUUAGUUAUAAUAUUUUAAAAACUUUUGGGAGUUCCUGCCGUGGCUCAGCGGAAACAAAUCUGACUAGGAUCCAAAGAGGAUGCAUGUUCAAUCCCUGGCCUCACUCAGUGGGUUAAAGAUCCGGCAUUGCCAUGAGCUGUGGUGUAGGUUGUGCCACUGUGGCUGUGGUGUAGGCUGGUGACUACAGCUCCAAUUUGACCCCUAGCCUGGGAACUUCCAUAUGCCUUGGGUGCGGCCCUAAAAAGUAAAAAAAAAAAAGAGGGUUUUUAGUACAUUCAUAAAGUUGUGCAACUAUUACUACUUUCUAAUUCUAGAAAAUUUUCAUCGUCCCCAAAGAGACCCUGUACCCAUUAGCAGUCACUCCCCACUUGCCUGUAGCAACCACUAAUCUGUUUUCCAUUGCUGUGGGUUUAUAUAUUCUAGAUGUUUCAUAUAAAUGGAAUCAUAUAGUCUGUGGCCUUUUGUGUCUUGCUUCUUUCACUUAGCAUCAAAGUUUCAAGAUUCACCCAUGUCAAAGCAUGGAUUCAUUCAUUUUUAAAGGCUGAAUAAUAUUCCAUUGCACAGACAUACCACAUUUUGUUUAUCCAUUCAUCUGUUGAUGGACCCUUGGGUUGCUUCCACUUGUUGUCUACUAUGAACAGUGUUGGGGUCCAGGCUGCUAUUUUGCAGAAUGUCCCUCCGUUCAGAUUGUCUGAUUGUUUUCCUCGUAGUUUCAGGUUCACUGCAUCUAUUUUCAUAGCCUAAGAAAUGGCUUUCUCUUUCUGCUGAGCCCAGCGAUGGCCAGCGUCUCUGCCCAGCUACGUCGCCGGCAGGUGGAACAGCCUAUUGGAGGCAGAGCUCCCUGCCUCCCCAACAAAGCAGUGCUGUGCUUAUUGCCACUGCCCACAGUCCCUGCUGCUGCCUUCCCUGCCCUGUGGGCACAGAACCUCAGAGCUAUUUCAAGCCCUUUCGUGGUAGACCUGGCCUGGGAAAGUCUGAGGUCCUGGCUGCUGGACACAAGUGCCUUCCUUAGAGGCAUGAAGGUCAUUCCCUGGGCUUGGCUUCUUUGGUCUGGUGGCCCAGCCCCUUGCUUCUGGUUCCCACCGACCCCCAGCAGUCACCCCCCGGCAACUGGCAUGAGGGAACAGAAUACACCUCACUGGGAUGGGCUUCCUGUUGACAAACGCCGGCUUGUGGCAUCGGGUGUGGUUAAGGCUCAAAAGAGCAUCUCUCUAAAAAUGGGCCCUUUCUGCUCAAUGGAUUUGGAGCACGUGUGUCUUUGAGUCAUUGCUGUUUCCUUCAUCCUGGCAAAAAUGACCUUUCUUUCCCUGCUGGUUUCCUCUGCGCAGCCCCCGGAGUCCCACAGCUAUGAGAACCUGGCGUUCUUCCUUCCUGGACCUCUUCCCCCCGUAACAGCUCAACCUCCCUGGCAAAAUCCACAGAGAUGCUGGGCCGCUGCUCCAUAGCUGUUUGUUUUCUUGUUUAGAGCAGAAUGAGGCAGGGCUUUUGAGUCACUUUCUGACUCGCUGUGUGGCUUUGAACAAGCCACUGGACCACUCUGUGCUCCUGUUUUCCCAGUGGGAAAUGAGAGAACGGAUGAUGUCAUUCUUUGCAGCAUUUCUCCACAGACUGGGGUUUGUUUAGGGGUGAGACAAUGGAGCAAGUGACAGAGAUGGGGUGAACCUCCUUCCUUGGAGGUGCAGACAUUGAACAAUAGGUCAGAUCCCCAUUUGGCCAUCCUGGCAGAUAAAGAGGUGGCUGUGGAAAGAGCAUGAGCUUGAGGGCCAGACUCUCUCAUGGCCAAGAUGUAUCUCUCUGUUUUUUACUAGCUGUGUGGCCUCAGGCAAGUUAAUCUCUCAGACCCUCCCUAUAAUAUAGCUCCUAUAAUAUAAAGGUAGCUUUUCCAGGGUUGAUGAAGAGAUCAAAGGGGGGUGAUUCUGUAAAGUGCUAAGGACAGUUUCUAGAAGGUUGUAGAAGUCCAAUAAACCAUUGAUUUUGAGAAAGUACAGUCACCUAAGAUAGCAGUGGGCUAGUUUCUUGGGCUCUAUCCAAAUCCUUUCUCCUCUCUUUGGGCCAGUUUCUCAUGCUGAGGUUUAAGCCAGGUAAUUUAGUGUCUUUGGAUGGAUGCUGUACUGUGGGGUUGGCCCUGGAGAUGAAGGUCCCUUAUCUCUCACCCUCCUUUUUGCUCAGCCCAGUUUUCACCUCUUUGGAAAACAACCCAUCAGAAACGGGUUGCAAAAGGUCCCAAGUUAUCUCAAGGAACACUUCUGGAGGGGGAAUUGCUGCAGGGCGGGCUGUGAACCCCACCUGUGGGGCCGAGACUCCCUGGGAGGUUUGUGGGUUCCAGCCUCCCUGGUGGCCUGGCUCGGGUGGGCCACCCAGGGGGUGAGAUUUCAGGACUGCCCAGCCACAGCUCCUCCCCAUCUUGUGGGCUAAUUCUUGAUAGUCCUCGAAGCCCAUUGAUUUAAAGCUUUGAUCCCUGCUGGAGAGAGAUCCACCUGGGAAAAGAUAGCACUUAAUCCUUCUCAAUCAUGUAGCCCUCAAAACUCCAUAUGCCGUGGGGUGGCCAAAAAAAAAAACAAAAAAAAAAAA
rnacentral:lncRNA from 1 species